rnacentral:rRNA from 1 species
CCUACGGGGGGCAGCAGUGGGGAAUAUUGGGCAAUGGAGGAAACUCUGACCCAGCAACGCCGCGUGAAUGAUGAAGGUCUUCGGAUUGUAAAGUUCUUUUCUAAGGGAAGAAGAAAGUGACGGUACCUUAGGAAUAAGCCUCGGCUAACUACGUGCCAGCAGCCACGGGAAUACGUAGGAGGCGAGCGUUAUCCGGAAUGACUGGGCGUAAAGGGUGCGUAGGUGGUUUGGCAAGUUAGUAGCGUAACUCCAAGGCUCAACCUUGGAACUACUACUAAAACUGUUGGACUUGAGUGCAGGGGGGGCAACCGGGAUUGCUAGUGUUGCGGUGGAAUGCGUAGGUAAUAGGAGGAACACCGGUGGCGGAGGCGGCUUACUGGACCGUAACUGACGUUGAGGCUCGAAAGCGUGGGGAGCAAACAGGAUUAGAUACCCUUGUAGUC